CCACCACUUAAACGUGGUUGUACUUGCUUUAGACCUAAGAAAGUAAGUGCUUCCAUGUUUUGGUGAUGG
rnacentral:pre_miRNA from 7 species